rnacentral:lncRNA from 1 species
ACAGUCAAAGGGCAAUCAAAAAUAAUAAUUCUACAGGUUUUAGAAUGGAAAUAAUAAAAAUAAGUGGUUUAUUCUUAUUCCUAACCCCUAAAAGACAAGUGGGAAUAAAAAGACUUUAUAGUGAUUUGUAUGUAAUAACACUGAAAAGAAUAGAAUGUGAUUUAAAAGAGGCUAAAAACUGUAUGUGUCUGUGUGUAAAUUGUUUUUGUUAUUAAUUCAAAUGCAAUGGGAUGAACAUGUUUUAAUGGAGCAUUUUCUCUUCUGGAAUGUGGUGCAUUAUAUGUGUAUAGCAUAUUAUCUCAAUUUCUGGAAAACAGAAAUCUUGGUAAAAGGUUCUGUAUCCCAGUGUUGCAUUUGCCAUAAUCAUUUUUUUUUCUAGGAAAAAAAUAUUGUGAGAAUACUUAUUUAAUUAGUAGUUAGUUAGCUGCUUUGAAUUCAUUCAUUUAUUUAUCAAAAUGUGCUCAUCCAAGAGCUGUAAAGCAGUUUUCCUCAAUUUAUGGGGGGAGUUCUCUAUUAAACAGUGAGUACUUUGUCUAGCUUUUUGCUCUGUUUCUGCUGUAAGUCUCUCUGUGGUGGGUUACAAAAUGUGGUUUUCAGGGGCACUAAGUGACUAGGAAGCAAAGAUUGCCUAAGUAUAUACUAGUGUUGUAGCCCUCAUUUGGACAUGUGUAAUAAAUUCACAUUUGUGCAUAUAAUAUGUAUCCCUGCAAUCUCAAAGCAAAAUUAUUCACUUAAUGUGUCCUACAUUUCCGAACAAUAAAAAGGGGAAACCUGCUUUUUAUGAACUAAUUUGCACUAUUUAUGAAGAACUAUAAAGUUGUUGGGGGAAGGAAGCAAGUAUGUAAAACUAAUCUGAGGAGCACUUCAUUGGGUUGGAAAUCCGUAAUAUGAUUUCUAGGACUUCAUGGGAAAGUUGAACGCUCAAGGGGAAAUUACACAAAGAACAGCUGAGAAAAAGUUGCAUUCUGGCACAGAAUCAUGCAAAUGGGGCACAUUCUUCAGUUUUCUCAUGACGGAUUGCCUCUGAAACCUCUGAGCCAAGCUGCAGCAAUGCUAAUGAGGGAGAUGCAUCAAUGAACAGUGUCAUCCCGGGGGCUUCCAAAGGGGAUGGGGGAUGGGGAGGGAGCCCUAGAGGGAGCUGGAGGAGGAAGAAGGAAGAAAGAAUGUAAAAAGAAACAGGGGGUGCAAGGAGGAGAGAAAAAGGAAAAGAAAAAGAAAGACGAGGGAAAGCAGUUGAACUUUGAAGUAUUAGUGCUAAACUGUUAAAAAAAAAAAAAAAACAACUUAUCAGGAAGAAAUGGAAGGUACAAAAUGAACAGAACUACAAUUACAUCCUUUUAAGAUCUGCAAGAUUCUUAAAAACAAAAUAGGACGGGAGAUAGAAAACUUUUUAAACUGUCUGUCUGCCGGACUAAAACUGAAAUUAGACUUGGGAGCUAAAAUGUUCUACCCAGAGAAUAGCUUGUGGUUUCUUUACUAAGAACUCCGGACUAUAAUGGAAAAGACUGGGGACCAUCUAUGCCACAAAAUUUAAAAAAAAGCACUUUUCAGACUUAACUUCUUUGUGGUUGCAGAUUUUUCAUUUGAAUGUUGAAGAAAAACUGUAAGUGCAUACAUUUAUAGCUCAUUUACUGCAAAGGAAAGACAGUUUGCUUGUCAUUCCAACUGUAUUUUGAAAAAUUUUUUUCUUUAAAUUCAUACACGCAAAGAUAAUUUUUAAAGACUAUUUCUCUUGAGAUUAACAAAUGUUACUUUCAUAGAUCUGUAAGCAGAUCUCUCUUUCUUGAGUUGCUAAAUCCAUACACACCACUUGUUUCCAUCUCCCUAGUGAAGGCAAAAUUAUUACUAAUUUACUUUGCAUUUUCCUUCCAUUCUGGGCUCCCAAUGUGCUAUAUUUCUCAUGGAAAUCAAACCAAAAGCUAUUUAUUGAGCACUUAUUAUAUUUAAAGCACUUUAAAUUAUUUUAUAAAGAAACUUAGAAUAUAUACAUAUAUAUAUAUAACACUGUUUAGUUUCAGCUGUUUUAAAGUGGUGAUGUUUCCAAACAUGAUGAAUAACUCCCUUUAUAAUAACACCACAAUGAACACAGCCAAUUUGGUAUAGAUGUCAUUUGCAUAUCACCCUUUCAAAAUGUCCACUAAAACUUACCCAGGCUACUUUAACCAAAAGUGUGGUUAAAAUGCAUUAUAUUUUUCCGCUCAUUAGUUUACUUUAUUAGCAUCUGGUUUUAAAAAUGUAAACAGCCGACAGUGCUCCUGUUUGCUAGUAUGGUCAUUUCAGUUCCUUUAGUUAAGAAAAUAAACAACUCAAAGAGAAACGACUGCAGUAAGAUUAAACUCUUUAAUGAACGAGUAUAAGUAGCUCUGCAUCAAUAUAGAUGAUGCUAAAAGCAGGUUCCUUUUAUUCUUUUGCUUGAUUUCAAGCAACAGAAACUGCAAGAUUCAGAAUUAAAGCUGACAAAAAAUCCCUAACUCACUCCAUUGUGUAUUACAGUUCAUAUGGUAUAGUUUCCAAGACCACCCACAGUUCUGAGACUGCUUAAUGGAAGAUUGUAUCAGCUGCUGUACCUAAUGACAACUAGAUGAGUUAAGAAUGAAGUGUUAGCAUUCAUAGUACUUGUGGGCAUAAAACAGAUUAUUCACAUCAUUUCAAAGAUAACCUUUGUAGCAAAAUGCAUUCAUUCAUGUAACUCAUUUCUAACUAAUCAAGUACAUUUUCUAUUGGAAUUAGCUUUAAAAAUUAAAUUUCUCAGAUAAAAAAUUUAAAUCUAUUGCAUUAAAGGAUCUGUUAACAUCUGUAACAUUUGUUGACAUUAAAAGAUCUGUUAAAGGAUGUAUUUAGACAAUUUUAAAUUACAUAUUAAUGGAAACUGCAAAGCAUGUUUCUGGCAUCUCAGGGUGUCAUUUUACAGCAUAAUUAUGAACAAUGUUAUUAAUGAGUAGUUAACUUUUGCCCAUUACACACCUAAGAGACGCCAGAGUGUCUCAAAAAAAAAAAAAACUUUGCCUCUGAAAAAUCUCUAAAGGCAAAGAGAAUACUUUUGAGCCAUGAGGCAUCUGGGAGUAAAGGCUGAGGUAGCCCCUAUCCUUGCUCCUCCUUUUCCAAAAUGGGACAUUUCUUUGAAGUCUCCUAGUUGGUUUAUGAAAUCUCUAUGAUUUUCACUUCACAAUAUGGCCAUGUUCAUUUUAAUAUAAAAAUUUUAAAUUACAAACUAUUUAGUUAGCUUACUUUCUUUUAAAUCUUAGAGUAAAACUGACACUCGAGGAAGAUGCACCAUGGUAAUCCCCCAAAAAUACUGUUAUCCAGGAUGAGAUGGUCCAGGAGUCAAUGAGCCUUCCUUGGGGCUAAGGUCUUAAAUCCCACUGCAGACUCACUGGAGGCUUUAGGCAUGUAAGUUCCUUAGCUGCUUCACUCCUUGGUUUCCUCAUGGAAAAUGAGGAAGGUAGACUAAGUGUUGGUCUGUAAACUCUUUUCACUUUUGGGAUGCUAUAAUAAUUCUGGCAAUGCAUUUUUUUUUCAAUGGAGAAUAAUGACUACUUAAAGAUUAGUGUAGCAAGGCGGGGGGAGUAGGAUGGACUGGGAGUUUGGGGUUAGUAGAUGCAAACUAUUACAUUUAGAAUGGAUAAGCAAUGAAAUCCUACUGUACAGCACAGGGAACUAUAUCCAGUCUCUUGGGACAGACCAUGGUGGAAGAUAAUAUAAGAAAGGAAAUGUAUAUAUAUGUAUGACUGGGUCACUUUGCUGUACAGCAGAAACUGGUGCAAUAUUGUAAAUCAACUAUAAUUUAAAAAAAUAUUAGUGUAGAUUAACUCUGUGAAUCUUUUCCAAUAAAGAAUUUUAAGAGAGAAUGGAUGCCAUAUAUGAAAUAUAAAAAAAAACCUACUUACUGUUUUGGCAAAUUUACUCCAAAACUUUAAAUAUCAAAAGCUGGAAAAAAUACUUGUUUGUUUUCCCUUUGUUUGUUUAAUAAAACUGUGUUUAAUUGGGAAUGAGUAAUCAUAACUCUAUUAAUCAAAGCUUUUCCUUGGAGCAUAAUUUCAAAAGAAAGAUGUAGAAAGAAACCAAGAAACCUCCUAACAAAUUUUCCUUUCAUUAAAAAAAAAAAUCUACAUUUUUGUACAUAGUUACUCAUUAGACUCAGUGUCUAACACACUCUACAUUCUUAACUAUGGCAUUUUGAUUUUGAGUUCAGGCUCUUGAUCAACCCUGGGUUGAAAUCCUACCUCCACCAUUUAGUCAUGGCAUUAUUUAUUCUAAGUUUCAGUGCUCUUAUCUAUAAGAUGAAAAUAAUAAUAAUACCUCAUGGAGUUUGAGAGGUAGGGAUUAAAUGAGAUAAUACAUGUCAAGUGCCCGGCUCAAUACAUGACCCAAAGUACCUCAUUAAUGUGAUCAUUUAUUAAUACUAUUACCAGACGAUGAGAAUCAAUGUCCCCCUUUACGUUAAAAGCCUAUUGUCAAGGUAAGACAAGUACAUGAAGCACACCAGAAAUAAAAUAGUAAUCCUAAAUAUUUAGACAAAUGGUAUCCAGAUUAUCUUCCAAAAACAUAUUAUUUGAUCAAAAACAAGAAGACUUCCAUAUCCAUCUUAUACCUCUGCUCUGCCUGAUUCCACCCCCAAGCCACUAUUAUGGUGCUCAGCCUGUAUGAACAUGUGGUCCUCUCUGCUGGCCCAGUCAGUAGAAAUCAUUGAGAGGUCACUUCCUGUCCUAGCUGAUGAAUGUAACCCACCCAGUCUGACUGGUUUACCUUGUGUGCCCCCUCCACCCACUCCACCCAAGGCAGUAUCUGUCUUCCCAGGUUUCAGUUUUUGUUUUUAAUCCCCUCAGCGGCUCCCUAUUUCAUUCAGCAUCAACCGUACACUCCACAUGGCCUCCAGAUCCUUCUUUACUUCUUCAGUCUCAAUUUCCAUCUCUGCCCUCCACCACCACCUAGACUCCAGCUUUGUCAAAUCACAGAAUUUUCAGAACUCUCCACAUUCAUCUUCACCUCAAGGUCUUACAGGGGUUCUCUUUUUUCUUCUGUACUCUUGCUCUUUCUCCCAGGACCUCUGCCUUCAGACUCCCCACAGCUUUCCUAUUUGGUCUUAAGUUCUUAGUUUAUAUGGGAGUCUGACUGGAGAAGAUUUGGUUAGGCGCUGCUCAUGUUUCUAUGGCAUUCGAGGCCUUACCUUUAUCAGAUUUUUAUCAAAUAUCAUUAUAAUAAGCUA